CAGAUAUUCUAAUUUUUAUAUUUAAAAAUAUAAUUUAAGGCGAAAAAGUGCACUAAUUUCCUGAACAUUCCCCCUUUUUGUCUUCCUUUCCUUUUCUUUCCUUUUCCUUUUCUCUCUCUUUUCUUUUUCUUUCCUUUACCCUUCUCCCUUUCCUUUUCCUUUUUUCUUUCUUUUCCUCAUUUCAUCUUCUUUACUUUUUCCUUUUAUUUGUUUUUGAAGCAAUUAAAUGGAAAGUUUACACCAUCUAAGAUUUUUGGUUUAAUAUAAUCCUAGAAACCUGGAGUAUACCCGUCUAUCACGCCUGUAUUAUCUUGGGUCAAGUUUCAAGGCAGGAUAUUCUUGCUUAGUUUCCUUAUAAAUAACUUCAAUAUUAAUAGGUCUAAUUCUAUCUUGAGAUAUAAACUAAUUAGCUUUAAAAAAAAAACACAACAAAAAACUAAACAUACAAUACUACACCUAUGUAAUGCUUAUCCUGUUAACAAAUGUUAAUACGAUAUACUAUCUAGUGAUUCCUUUAAUAUAUUCCUUUUCCUCUUUCUUCCCUAAACCCUAUAGCAGGUAUAGCAGAACAUUACAUUAAUAUAAUUCCUCGUAGAUUUUCUGCUUUUAUCGUACGUCUAUCGACUCAUUUACCUCUAAGAUUUUAUUAACUGUGUUUUUCAAUCUUUUUGACCUCUUCCUUCUCAUUUACCUUUCCCAAUAUUUCUUUUCCCUUUUCCUACCUGUUUCUUUUCCUUUUUAUUCUUUCAUAAUUAUUACUCUUUUUUGAUCUUUUCUAUCCAUUCCUUCCAUCUUGUAUCAUUGCUUAAAUUAAAAUAUCCAUUAAUCCCUUGUUCUAUUUGACAUUGAUUAAUAAUUUGCAGUUUUAUAUCAGCUAUUUUUGGUGGAUGGUGAGAUUUCCAAUUUUUAGCUAUGUGUAAUUUUGUUGCUAUUAAAGUAUGGAUUAUUAGAUCUCGUUUAUCUUUUUCUAUUAUUUGUUAACCUAUGUGUAGAAUUGCGGAUGCAGGAGAGUACUUUAAUUUCUUUCUUUGAUGUCCACUUCUCUAUCCAUUUAAAUAUUGUCUGCCAGACUUUCUUAUUUCAGGACAAGACCACCAUAUAUGUAUCGUAUCGGCACUCAUUUUACCACACCUCCAACACUCAGGGGAUCUAGCUGGAUAUAUUUUAGAUAGUUUUAAGGGAUUAUAAUACCACCUGUUAGCCAACUUGUAUUGUAUUUCUAUUAAGUUUAACCAAUGUACGGCUUUUCUUGUUUGAGUUAGCAUUUUAGACCAUUCACUAUGUCCUGUUGCUAGCUGUAAAUCUUUAUUCCAAGAUUUUAUAGCCUGGAUUUCAUUAUACUUAGAAUAAAGAUAGAUUAAAUACAUUGCUUUAGUUAUAAUUUUAUGGCUCUUUUCUUCAUUUAUCAUUUUGAUAAAAUGAGAUGUUUUUUUCUGUUAAAUUAUAUUUCCU